rnacentral:rRNA from 1 species
GAUGAACGCUUGCGGCAGGCUUAAUACAUGCAAGUCGAACGGUAACAGGGUCUUCGGACUGCUGACGAGUGGCGGAUGGGUGAGUAACGCGUAUGCAACCUUCCUCACACCGAGAAAAAGUCGACUGAAAAGUUGAAUAAAGUCUCGUGGUGUGCAUUUCUCGCAUGAGAGAUGUAUGAUAGAAGCAAUUUGGUGUGAGAUGGGCAUGCGUAUCAUUAGCUAGUUGGUAAGGUAACGGCUUACCAAGGCGACGAUGAUUAGGGGGCCUGAGAGGGUGGUCCCCCACACUGGGACUGAGACACGGCCCAGACUCCUACGGGAGGCAGCAGUAGGGAAUAUUGGGCAAUGGGCGGAAGCCUGAACCAGCCAUGCCGCGUGAUGGAUGACGGCCUUAGGGUUGUAAACAUCUUUUCUGCUAGAGGAAUAGAGUUCACGCGUGGACAGACGACUGUAUAGCAGGAAUAAGGAUCGGCUAACUCCGUG